UUUACACGCAGGCUUUUUGUGUCAUCUCUUCCACAUGCUCCAGGAAAGCAGAAGGAUCCAAAGUGGCCCCAAAAGGUUUUAAGAAGUGCCAAACUCCCAGCUGUGCACACGUUUCAUAUUGCUGCUAAAAAGUAAAUAAUUACCAUGUGAGAACCACAGCAACAUUUGAUUCCUGCCCCCCCCCCCCCCCCUCCCACACACACACAUCGUCUUGCUUUGCUCCUGUCUCUCUUCCCUUUUUUCUCCUACUUAGAUCCCAGUCCCAGAGGCUUGUGAUCUGAUUUGUCUUAUGUGACAAAAGGGCUUGAGCCUCAGCAACAAAACCUUUCCCUAGUGAGCAUAACCCAGCAAAGCCUUCUUGUUACUAUGUUUUGCAGGUCAUGGUUUUGCAAGUGCCUAGUGCAGCACAUCCAGGGACAAACCCAUGCCUCAAGCAGCUGGGCAGUAAAGAAGGCCAAGCAAAUCCUUUUCAGAUGCAGCAGCGAGUGCUGCUUCUUCAAUCAGCCUCCCCAGACAUGCACCACUGUCCCUCGGGCUGAAGAAAGAGAAAACCUCUAUAUAACAGUGCAAGGCCAGUCUUGUCUCCAUGACAGUGUGCUGUAACAGGAAGGGAUUUGGAAAGACUCAUCUUCUCUACCCAUCAGCUGAGCAAUGUUCUUCUCUGCCUGUUAAUUGCACUUAGUGUUGAACCACUGCAACAAACAGAAUCUUCCUUCACUCCAUCAAGAAAUUUGCAUCUUUUCCAUCUCCUUACUUUUUCCUAUCUUACUGCUUCUGCCCUUGGUACCUCUCUCCCUGUUUUUGCAUUUUCUCAUAAAGAUGCAUUUAUUCUACUUCCAUCUCUCCCAGUCUUUUCUUCUUCUCUAAGCAUUUCCCCUUUUCAAGUGUUAUCACUCAAUGGAAACAGUUCAGGCCUAUCUCACAUCUCAGCUGCAAUCCCUGUAGUGUCUGUGCCAUCCUAGUAAUAGUUCUGUUCCCAUCUGAGAUCAAAACAAGGACAAGUAGCAAGAAUAUGUGUUUCCAAAAGCAAUCCAUGGCACUGAGCCAAAGCUUGCUGAAGUCAUGAGGGCUUUUCCAAUGACUCCAACAUUUUUGGAUCAUAAAAUAUGCAGUAUUGUUUUUAAACACAAAUCAAAUUAAGCAAUGUUUUCUGAUUGACUAUACUCAGUAAUUUUUGUGCACGUCACAAAAAUCUUAUGGAAGAAAUAGAGAUCAUGACUUUAUGAGCCAGGAAGGGGAAGCUUAUCUAUGCAUCAAGAAAAUCCAAUAACAUUUCUGGCACAAUAAGAAGUUGACUAAAACAUCAGGAUAGAGAGAUCUGGAGAAUUUGUGACCAGAAACUUUUAGGGACUGAAACUAUUUACGACUCCCUCUUUUUUCAUCAAAGCUUCAUCUUGACACCUGUUGUGAAAUUUGCCCAUAUUGGAUGAAAAUGUUCAAAUUUUGAAAUACUUAUAGGGAAGUAAAAUAUUUGUUUCCUUUAUUUGACAAAAUGUAGGUCUUACCUGUCAGAAUAACAGACCCACAACAGCAGCCAAAUAUUUGUCUGUUAUUUCAGUCAUUAAUUUUGAUCCUUUUACUCCUGGGCUGUUUUGGUGGGUAGUAUGAAAAAGGGAGAUGACUAGAAAUGUCCCUUAACUGGAGUACCCAGAGAAGGUGGCUCUUCUUGUGUGUGUCAGUACAUGAGCAACUGCUCUUUGGUGUGGAGUUUGAUGUUACAGCCAUCUGCUGCCAUAGCACAAGCAUUUUCUUUUAGCUACAGAUGCUGAAUGGCAGAGAUUACCAAACCAACAAAGUUUCCACUACUAGGAGCCUGAGAGUCCCUCAAAAGAUGAAUAUUUUAUGUAGAUGGUCUCACACUUCAGGAGUGUGAGUAACAGAGUUAAUUCAAAUGUAUUUCACGUGAUGUCAGGAGCUAGUCCUUUUAUGUCAUUUUGUCUUUUUAAAGGUAAUUUUUUCCCUAUUCUUUGUGGUGAUUAUUUAAAAUAAAGUUGCCAUAUCUUUUCA
rnacentral:lncRNA from 1 species